rnacentral:rRNA from 1 species
CCUACGGGCGGCAGCAGUGAGGAAUAUUGGUCAAUGGACGCAAGUCUGAACCAGCCAUGCCGCGUGCAGGAAGACGGCUCUAUGAGUGGUAAACUCCUUUUGUACGAGGGUAAACGCAGAUACGUGUAUCUGUCUGAAAGUAUCGUACGAAUAAGGAUCGGCUAACUCCGUGCCAGCAGCCGCGGUAAUACGGGGGAUUCAAGCGUUAUCCGGAUUUAUUGGGUUUAACGGGUGAGUAGGCGGUCGGAUAAGUUAGAGGUGAAAUCCCGAGGCUCAACUUCGGAAUUGCCUCUGAUACUGUACGGCUGGAGAGUAGUGGGGGUAGGCGGAAUGUAGGGGGUGGCGGUGAAA